rnacentral:rRNA from 1 species
AUUGAACGCUGGCGGCAUGCCUUACACAUGCAAGUCGAACGGUAACAGGUCUUCGGAUGCUGACGAGUGGUGAACGGGUGAGUAAUACAUCGGAACGUGCCCGAUCGUGGGGGAUAACGAAGCGAAAGCUUUGCUAAUACCGCAUAAGAUCUACGGAUGAAAGCAGGGGACCGCAAGGCCUUGCGCGAACGGAGCGGCCGAUGGCAGAUUAGGUAGUUGGUGGGAUAAAAGCUUACCAAGCCGACGAUCUGUAGCUGGUCUGAGAGGACGACCAGCCACACUGGGACUGAGACACGGCCCAGACUCCUACGGGAGGCAGCAGUGGGGAAUUUUGGACAAUGGGCGAAAGCCUGAUCCAGCCAUGCCGCGUGCAGGAUGAAGGCCUUCGGGUUGUAAACCGCUUUUGUCAGGGAAGAAACGCUCUGAGCUAAUAUCUCGGAGUAAUGACGGUACCUGAAGAAUAAGCACCGGCUAACUGCGUGCCAGCCGCCGCGGUAACAC